rnacentral:lncRNA from 1 species
GUUUGCUUGCUACAAAAAUGAUACAAAAAGCUAUUUUUUCCUGCUACAAUUAGAAUUUACAAAAAAAAUUUUGUGUUUACAUUGUACUAACUGACAAAAAGCCAUUUUUCCUGAUACAAAUCAUAUUGGUGAGAGAAUGAUCUCUGUGAACUCAGAUAUUAUUUAUUUGUAUGGCAAGAAAUAGUAAAAGAUGUCAAGGGAAAUGUCAGGGAGUUUCCUCCCUAUACAUUUCCCUUUUACAUCAGUAUUAUUGACUGCCUUAUGAAUCUAAUCAAGGCUACCAGGAUAUCAUCAAUUGGAACAGUCUUUGACACUAUGAGAGAUGGUCUACAAGUGUUUAGGGCAGUCACAAUUUGGGUUUGUUGUAUGGUCUUAUCUAUAUACGAAGUAGCCACAUCUACCAUGGUUUUUCUAAUUCUAUUGAAGAUUGUAGUUCUAUUAAAGGUUGGCUGUUCUCUUCUAAGAAGGCUAAUCAGAGAGCAAUUAUAAUGUAUCCUAGAUAAGAAAACAGCUUAUGGAUUGACUUCUGUUUAUUGUCCUGCCAUAUUGCUUCUGCUGAACCAUUAAGAACAGUAGGAUAAAUAAAAAACUUUCCAGAAGAAUAUUUCUUAGGCAAUUUUGAAAGAGAAAGGCUAUUAAUAAUGCAGUAAAGUGGAUAAGAUGGGUCAUUGGUAAUUAUUACAAAUACAGAUAGUACUUGACUUGUAAUAAGAUUCAGUUUAAACCUCAUUCUUGUAAGUUGGAGCAGUCAUUAGUUGUAAAUGCCCAAAAUUUAUAGAUUUCUCACUACUAAUGUUUAUUAGGACGCUAUAUAUUAUUAAAAUAGACAAAACAAAAACACAAAACUGCAAAAACCAGAUACCAAAAAAUUAAUGUUUUCUGUACAUCAGAUCUUUGGAUUUGGGACUUGAACCCAUUGAAUUAUAUUG